rnacentral:rRNA from 1 species
UACGGAGGGUGCAAGCGUUAUCCGGAUUCACUGGGUUUAAAGGGUGCGUAGGAGGGCAGGUAAGUCAGUGGUGAAAUCUCCGAGCUUAACUUGGAAACUGCCGUUGAUACUAUCUGCCUUGAAUAUUGUGGAGGUGAGCGGAAUAUGUCAUGUAGCGGUGAAAUGCUUAGAUAUGACAUAGAACACCAAUUGCGAAGGCAGCUCGCUACACAUAUAUUGACUCUGAGGCACGAAAGCCGUGGGGAUCAAACAGG